UGUUCGAGCGUCAUUACAACCCUCAAGCACCGCUUGGCAUUGGAUGUCACUGCUAUAGUGCAUCUCAAAAGUAUCAGUGGCAGCAUCUAAGCUUCUAGCGCAGUAAAUUUCUCGCCUGCAGCGAAGAUGUGUAGCUUCUAAGACAAUAUUUAUUUUUAAAGGUUGACCUCGGAUCAGGUAGGGAUACCCGCUGAACUUAA
rnacentral:misc_RNA from 1 species